UUAUGGCUCAGGAUGAACGCUGGCGGCGUGCCUAACACAUGCAAGUCGAACGGAGCAUACGGACUGGAGAUUCGUCGAAGGACCGUAUGACUUAGUGGCGGACGGGUGAGUAAUGUAUGAGCAACCUGCCUUUCAGAGGGGGACAACAGUUGGAAACGACUGCUAAUACCGCGUAACGUAUCGUGAGGGCAUCCUCGUGAUACCAAAGGAGCAAUCCGCUGAAAGAUGGGCUCAUAUCUGAUUAGCUUGUUGGCGGGGUAACGGCCCACCAAGGCGACGAUCAGUAGCCGGACUGAGAGGUUGAACGGCCACAUUGGGACUGAGAUACGGCCCAGACUCCUACGGGAGGCAGCAGUGGGGAAUAUUGGGCAAUGGGCGAAAGCCUCGACCCAGCAACGCCGCGUGAAGGAAGAAGGUCUUCGGAUUGUAAACUUCUUUUAUGAGGGACGAAGGACGUGACGGUACCUCAUGAAUAAGCCACGGCUAACUACGUGCCAGCCGCCGC
rnacentral:rRNA from 1 species